UACGUAGGGUGCGAGCGUUAAUCGGAAUUACUGGGCGUAAAGCGUGCGCAGGCGGUUCGUUGUGUCGGCGGUGAAAGCCCCGGGCUCAACCUGGGAAUGGCCGUUGAAACUGGCGAACUGGAGUGUGGCAGAGGGGGGUGGAAUUCCGCGUGUAGCAGUGAAAUGCGUAGAGAUGCGGAGGAACACCGAUGGCGAAGGCAGCCCCCUGGGCUGACACUGACGCUGAGGCGCGAGAGCGUGGGGAGCAAACAGG
rnacentral:rRNA from 1 species